GGGUCGUUGGUAUAGUGGUAUUAUGAGAGAUUCCAAACCUCUUGACGUGGGUUCGACUCCUACACGGCUCGCCA
rnacentral:tRNA from 1 species